AGUGAACGCUGGCGGUAGGCCUAACACAUGCAAGUCGAACGGCAGCACAGAGGAGCUUGCUCCUUGGGUGGCGAGUGGCGGACGGGUGAGGAAUACAUCGGAAUCUACUCUGUCGUGGGGGAUAACGUAGGGAAACUUACGCUAGUACCGCAUACGACCUACGGGUGAAAGCAGGGGACCUUCGGGCCUUGCGCGAUUGAAUGAGCCGAUGUCGGAUUAGCUAGUUGGCGGGGUAAAGGCCCACCAAGGCGACGAUCCGUAGCUGGUCUGAGAGGAUGAUCAGCCAAACUGGAACUGAGACACGGUCCAGACUCCUACGGGAGGCAGCAGUGGGGAAUAUUGGACAAUGGGCGCAAGCCUGAUCCAGCCAUCCCGCGUGGGUGAAGAAGGCCUUCGGGUUGUAAAGCCCUUUUGUUGGGAAAGAAAUCCAGCUGGCUAAUACCCGGUUGGGAUGACGGUACCCAAAGAAUAAGCACCGGCUAACUUCAUGCCAGCAGCCGCCGUAA
rnacentral:rRNA from 1 species